rnacentral:lncRNA from 1 species
UAUCCGAGCCCAAUUAAUUUUGUGGAUUGGUCUUCCGUAAACUCAUUAUGUGGCAAGAAAGUAAAUAUUAACCUCUACUCCACUUACGUCGUUAACUCUCUUCAUCUCCCUCAUUGUGACCAGCCAAAACCAAACCUGAUAUACUCUUCAAGAUCUCCAAUGUAACGCCUACCAUUAUGAUUUAUUGAGGGCUUCUUCAUGAAAGUAACUAUAGAAAGCAAUCAACCUCUUCAACAUCCCUACCUUCACAACACUGUAUAUAGAUAUAUGUCAGCUGGUUCUCUCGCAUCCCUCCU